GUCCCGGGGAUCCCGUGUACAGUUUGAAGCAUGUUGUGCCUAGACUAUCUGAGCUCCUUGGAUUCAAGCUGAGUUCUCCUUAACCUUAACCUCAGCUGGUCUAGUUCAUGGAAUUUGUACCUUGUUAAUGUUUUAUUUAGCAUUGGCAUGCUUACCAGUUUGAAAUGGAAAAUGGAUGUGCGGGGAAUAAACUUAAGAGUUUGGUUGCUGGAAUUCCAAACGGAGGUGUUUUUCUCCUUAAAAGGAGAAUUGAUCAAUGACCUCGAGAUUUCCAGGAACCUAGCAUUUGUUGCUGACCUCUAUGUUAAUGAUUGUUUUCUGAAUGAUGACAGAACCGAUUCUUGCGUAGUCGGAGUCUCUAAGUUCUUACGACCAUCUGUGGCAGGAUUCCUUGUAUAAAAGGUUCAUGUGUUCCAGAUUUUGGGAACAACUUCACCAAGGUGCUUCAAAUAAUGGAGACAACUUUUUCUAGUUUCUUCCACCUUUGGAGACAACUUGAGCAAGUUGCUACCACCUUUGAAGACAACUUGUGGGAUAUUCUAGUUGCAUUUGGAGUUGUUCCUGGUGAAUAUGGUGAUAUUUGGCGUUGGUUUCUGAAUAAUUUGAAGACAAUCCUCAAUGUUUGAUCGUCCAUUGACCAUCAUACCGUAGGAAGCCACGGAUUUCAUACUCCCAUAGGAUUAUGUUCAACUUCCAAUAAUUUUUUCUUAUGUUUUGGUUUUCCAGUUGUUA